rnacentral:rRNA from 1 species
UACGGGGAGGGCAAGCAUUGUUCGGAAUUACUGGGCGUAAAGGGCUCGUAGGCGGCCAACUAAGUCAGACGUGAAAUCCCUCGGCUUAACCGGGGAACUGCGUCUGAUACUGGAUGGCUUGAAUCCGGGAGAGGGAUGCGGAAUUCCAGGUGUAGCGGUGAAAUGCGUAGAUAUCUGGAGGAACACCGGUGGCGAAGGCGGCAUCCUGGACCGGCAUUGACGCUGAGGAGCGAAAGCCAGGGGAGCAAACGGG